rnacentral:tRNA from 1 species
GGGGCCGUAGCUCAGUCGGGAGAGCGCAGCGUUCGCAACGCUGAGGUCAGGGGUUCGAAUCCCCUCGGCUCCA